rnacentral:rRNA from 1 species
GAGUUUGAUCAUGGCUCAGGACGAACGCUGGCGGCGUGCUUAACACAUGCAAGUCGAACGGUCUAUCUCGACUGAUACCUUCGGGUUGAAGACGAGAUCUAGAUAGUGGCGGACGGGUGAGUAACACGUGAAUAAUCUGUCCUCAAGUCUGGGAUAACCUGGCGAAAGUCGGGCUAAUCCGAGGUAAGCUGAGAGUGUGGCAUCACACAAUCAGAAAAGGUGGCUCUGCCAUCGUUUGAGGAGGAGUUCGCGGUAGAUUAGCUAGCUGGUGAGGUAAUGGCUCACCAGGGCAACAAUCUAUAGCUGGUCUGAGAGGACGAUCAGUCACACUGGAACUGAGACACGGUCCAGACUCCUACGGGAGGCAGCAGUGGGGAAUCUUCCACAAUGGGCGAAAGCCUGAUGGAGCAACGCCGCGUGAGUGAAGAAGGUCUUAGGAUUGUAAAGCUCUGUCCUUAGGGAAGAACCGUGGGUAUAGUAAAUGCUACCCACCUGACGGUACCUUUGGAGGAAGCACUGGCUAACUACGUGCCAGCAGCCGCGGUAA